rnacentral:rRNA from 1 species
UACGUAGGGGGCGAGCGUUAUCCGGAUUCACUGGGUGUAAAGGGAGCGUAGACGGCUGGGCAAGCCUGAUGUGAAAGGCGGGGGCGCAACCCUCGGACUGCAUUGGGAACUGUCCGGCUGGAGCGCCGGAGGGGUAAGCGGAAUUCCUGGUGUAGCGGUGAAAUGCGUAGAUAUCAGGAGGAAUACCGUUAGCGAAGGCGGCAAUCUGGCUGGAAACUGACGCUGAGGUGCGAAAGCGUGGGUAGCAAACAGG